rnacentral:rRNA from 1 species
UCGUAACAAGGUCUCUGUUGGUGAACCAGCGCAGGGAUCAUUACUGAGUUUACGCUCUAUAACCCUUUGUGAACAUACCUAUAACUGUUGCUUCGGCGGGUAGGGUCUCCGCGACCCUCCCGGCCUCCCGCCUCCGGGCGGGUCGGCGCCCGCCGGAGGAUAACCAAACUCUGAUUUAACGACGUUUCUUCUGAGUGGUACAAGCAAAUAAUCAAAACUUUUAACAACGGAUCUCUUGGUUCUGGCAUCGAUGAAGAACGCAGCGAAAUGCGAUAAGUAAUGUGAAUUGCAGAAUUCAGUGAAUCAUCGAAUCUUUGAACGCACAUUGCGCCCGCCAGCAUUCUGGCGGGCAUGCCUGUUCGAGCGUCAUUUCAACCCUCAAGCUCUGCUUGGUGUUGGGGCCCUACAGCUGAUGUAGGCCCUCAAAGGUAGUGGCGGACCCUCCCGGAGCCUCCUUUGCGUAGUAACUUUACGUCUCGCACUGGGAUCCGGAGGGACUCUUGCCGUAAAACCCCCCAAUUUUCCAAAGGUUGACCUCGGAUCAGGUAGGAAUACCCGCUGAACUUAAGCAUAUCAAUA